rnacentral:snRNA from 1 species
GUGCUGACUUCGACAGCACAUAUACUAAAAUUGGAACGAUACAGAGAUUAGCGUGGCCCCUGCGCAAGAAUGACAUGCAAAUUCGUGAGGCGUUCCAUAUUUUU